GACGAACGCUGGCGGCGUGCUUAACACAUGCAAGUCGAACGGAAAGGCCCUGCUUUUGUGGGGUGCUCGAGUGGCGAACGGGUGAGUAACACGUGAGUAACCUGCCCUUGACUUUGGGAUAACUUCAGGAAACUGGGGCUAAUACCGGCUAGGAGCUCCUGCUGCAUGGUGGGGGUUGGACAUUUUCGGCGGGUGGGGAUGGACUCGCGGCUUAUCAGCUUGUUGGUGGGGUAGUGGCUUACCAAGGCUUUGACGGGUAGCCGGCCUGAGAGGGUGACCGGCGACAUUGGGACUGAGAUACGGCCCAGACGCCUACGGGAGGCAGCAGUGGGGAAUAUUGCACAAUGGGCGGAAGCCUGAUGCAGCAACGCCGCGUGCGGGAUGACGGCCUUCGGGUUGUAAACCGCUUUCGCCUGUGACGAAGCGUGAGUGACGGUAAUGGGUAAAGAAGCACCGGCUAACUACGUG
rnacentral:rRNA from 1 species